AUUGAAGAUUGAUUUGGAAUCAAGAAAAGAUUUAUUUAAGAGGUGGUCUCCUAGGGUUUCAAAAUUAAUUGAAUUGAGAAUUCAGAUCUCCAUCUCCUUUUGAUCACCACACCAACCUCUCUUCCUACUCUCUUUCCAACACUCAAGGGUUGGGCAUCCCAUAUUCCCACAUGCCCAAGUUAAGGGUGAUCUCUUCUACAGCAAAGAACAUGGAGAAAGGCUGCAGUGCAAGCAUCAAGAUCGCGGUCAAAGAUCAAGAGUUGAUCAAAGGUCCCAAAGGCUG
rnacentral:lncRNA from 1 species